UUUUUUUUUAAACCUAGAGCGAUUCAAUUC
rnacentral:piRNA from 1 species